GGGUUAAGUGACUUGCCCAGGGUCACACAGCUAAGGAGAAUUCACCCAUGGAACUACCGAGGAUGUGAUUCUGCUCUUAUAUUAACUUUCCAGUAGAUUACAAAAAGUAAUCAGAACCAAAUGGAAGAUAUACUGUCCAUUAUAUAUUCUCAGACCUGAAGCAGUAAUUUUUUUCCCCUGCAUACUAAAGCAAGCAAAUGACCUUUUCAUUGAAAAUGCCAACAAAGAUGACUAACAGGGACGCAAUACCCAAGAUAAGUAAAGAGACAAGAGAAUACUUUUCUGUUCUUGAAUUAAAAUCACUUGGACCAGAUGAACUGCAUCCUUUCAUACUGAAAAAAGUGAAAGAUGUGAAUGCUGAGCCACUGCCAGUAAUAUUUGAAAGAUCAUGGAAAACAGAGGAAUGACUAGAUUGGAGAAGGGACAAUUUUCAUAAAAAGGGGACACAAUGGAGUCUGCAAAUUAUAGACUAGUGAACAUAGCUUCAAAUUCCUGAUAACAUUGGAGAAUUAAUCAUGAAAGAGUUGGUUGGGGUUUCAUCUAUCAAUAAAAGUAGUGAUUACAAAGAAUUUUGUCAAGAAUAGGUCAUGCUAGACUGACUUAAUUUUUUUAAAUGAUUACUAAAUAAAUUAGGAUUAUUCUGUAAAUGUUAUUUAUUUAGAUUUUUGCACACAAUCUCAUACUAUUUUUUUAAAAAAUAUUUUGAUUGAUAUCUUCUGUUUUUAUAUCUUUAUAGUUUUCAAUAUUAUCUCUCCUCCUCCCUGAGAAUAAUCUCAUAUGAUUUUAAGAUAAAAAAGAAGCAUACAAGUGAUCAAAUUAUUGAGAAAAUACAAAAAUAUAUUUAAUGUGCAAUACCUGUGGACUGCUCAUCUUCAUGAAAGGAAAGGUUGGGGGUUGCUUCUUAUAUAUUUUCAUUUGAACUGUGUUUGUUCUUUACAAUUUUGUUAAUUUACUUUUUAUUUUUAUGAGUGUAGUUCUUUUCAUUUAUAUUAUUGUAGUCAUUAUGCA